CGAGUUAAUUAUACGGUUGCGGGCAAAGAAAUUUGCGUGAGGAAAGUCCGAGCAUCACAGGGCAAGGGUGCCUGUUAACGGCAGGUGAAGGCGACUUCAAGGAAAGUGAACAGAAAUAUACCGCAGCUUUUAGCUGUAAGGUUGGAAUGGCGAGGUAAGAGCUCACCGUGGCGGCGGUAACGCUGCCAGCCAGUCAAACCCCACCCGAUGCAAGAUUGGGAUAAUACCUUAUUUAGAUAUAGGGGCUGCCCGUCCGGUAUUAUCCGUUAACAUCGCUCGAACCGUUCGGCGACGAACGGUCUAGAUAGAUAACCGUACACGACAGAACUCGGCUUACAGAUUAAUCUCGGAUU
rnacentral:RNase_P_RNA from 1 species